rnacentral:tRNA from 1 species
UGUAAGUAUAUUAAGUAUAGUUGAUUUCCAAUCAAUUGGUCUAUCUAAAAGAUAGAUA